rnacentral:rRNA from 1 species
UGCCAGCAGCCGCGGUAAUACGGAGGGGGCUAGCGUUGUUCGGAAUUACUGGGCGUAAAGCGCACGUAGGCGGAUUGUUAAGUCGGGGGUGAAAUCCCGGGGCUCAACCCCGGAACUGCCUCCAAAACUAUCGGUCUAGGGUUCGAGAGAGGUGAGUGGAAUUCCGAGUGUAGAGGUGAAAUUCGUAGAUAUUCGGAGGAACACCAGUGGCGAAGGCGGCUCACUGGCUCGAUACUGACGCUGAGGUGCGAAAGUGUGGGGAGCAAACAGGAUUAGAUA